rnacentral:rRNA from 1 species
AUUGAACGCUGGCGGCAGGCUUAACACAUGCAAGUCGAGCGGGGUGAGGUGCUUCGGUACUGAUCCUAGCGGCGGACGGGUGAGUAAUGCUUAGGAAUCUGCCAUUUAGUGGGGGACAACAUUCCGAAAGGGAUGCUAAUACCGCAUACGUCCUACGGGAGAAAGCAGGGGAUCUUCGGACCUUGCGCUAAAUGAUGAGCCUAAGUCGGAUUAGCUAGUUGGUGGGGUAAAGGCCUACCAAGGCGACGAUCUGUAGCGGGUCUGAGAGGAUGAUCCGCCACACUGGGACUGAGACACGGCCCAGACUCCUACGGGAGGCAGCAGUGGGGAAUAUUGGACAAUGGGCGGAGGCCUGAUCCAGCCAUGCCGCGUGUGUGAAGAAGGCCUUUUGGUUGUAAAGCACUUUAAGCGGGGAGGAGGCUACCUAGAUUAAUACUCUGGGAUAGUGGACGUUACUCGCAGAAUAAGCACCGGCUAACUCUGUGCCAGCCGCCGCAGUAACAC